CCUACGGGGGGCAGCAGUGAGGAAUAUUGGUCAAUGGGCGUAAGCCUGAACCAGCCAAGUCGCGUGAGGGAUGAAGGUUCUAUGGAUCGUAAACCUCUUUUAUACGGGAAUAAAUUGCGGGACGUGUCCCGUUUUGUAUGUACCUUAUUAAUAAGGAUCGGCUAACUCCGUGCCAGCAGCCGCGGUAAUACGGAGGAGCCGAGCGUUAUCCGGAUUUAUUGGGUUUAAGGGGUGCUUAGGCGGCCUUUUAAGUCAGCGGUGAAAGGCUGUGGCUCAACCAUAGAAUGGCCGUUGAAACUGGGAGGCUUGAGUAUGUGGGAGGGAGCCGGAAUGCGUGGUGUAGCGGUGAAAUGCUUAGAUAUCACGAAGAAC
rnacentral:rRNA from 1 species